rnacentral:rRNA from 1 species
GACGAAGGGGGCUAGCGUUGUUCGGAAUUACUGGGCGUAAAGCGCGUGUAGGCGGUUGCCCAAGUCGGGUGUGAAAGCCUUGAGCUCAACUCAAGAAAUGCACUCGGUACUGGGUGACUAGAGGACCGGAGAGGAUAGUGGAAUUCCCAGUGUAGUGGUGAAAUACGUAGAGAUUGGGAAGAACACCAGUGGCGAAGGCGGCUAUCUGGACGGUUUCUGACGUAAGACGCGAAAGCGUGGGGAGCAAACAGG